rnacentral:tRNA from 1 species
AAUGAAUUGCCUGAGGAAAAAGGGUUAUCUUGAUAGGAUAAAUUAUGUAAAAUAUUACAUUCAUUA